GCUGGAACCGUUCGUGUGUGUGGAGUGUUGUUUGGGCGAUCGCUUCCAGCGUUGAGUUUGAUGGUCUAUCUAUGCUGAAGCUUGUACAAUUUUAACGAAUGGUCUGCAGGUCUUCCAACUACAAUUUUAGCUCACUUACAGAAAAUCGCACCAUCCAAAUUCUUCCAUUAAAAGAGAUUUACAUGUGAAUUAGCUGAAGAAAGAUAAAGAUUGUUUUCCAGGAGACCAGAGAACUGAAAUCUUUAUCAUUCCUACCAGGGAGUUUCAGCCCCUCAAAUAUGACACCAGAUCCUGUAGAAUAAGAUGGCAGUUAGAAU